UGGGAGUCAGUGGGUCAGGUAAGGCAAGU
rnacentral:piRNA from 1 species